CCAAACUUGGUCAUUUAGAGGAAGUAAAAGUCGUAACAAGGUUUCCGUAGGUGAACCUGCGGAAGGAUCAUUACAAAAGGUUUCUUAUACCUUUUAAUCCACCGUGUGCACCGAUUGAAAAAUCAAAAUCCCUCUGUGGAUUUUAAUUUUUUUUUAUUCAAGCCUUAAACGCUGUCUGAUAUUUUUUAAAAAUAACUAAAACAACUUUCAACAACGGAUCUCUUGGCUCUCGCAUCGAUGAAGAACGCAGC
rnacentral:misc_RNA from 1 species